AUACGUAGGUCACGAGCGUUAUCCGGAAUUAUUGGGCGUAAAGAGUGAGCAGGCGGUGAAGUAAGUCUGGAGUGAAAGCGUGAGGCUCAACCUCAUACAGCUUUGGAAACUACUUCGCUAGAGUACGUCAGAGGUUAACAGAACUCCGUGUGUAGCGGUGAAAUGCGUAGAUAUACGGAAGAAUACCAGUGGCAAAGGCGGUUAACCAGGACGAUACUGACGCUCAGUCACGAAAGCGUGGGGAGCAAAUAGGAUUAGAUACCCUAGUAGUCCACGCCGUAAACGAUGAUGACUAACUAUGGCCGUGAGGCCGUGGUGAAGCUAACGCAUUAAGUCAUCCGCCUGGGAAGUACGGUCGCAAGACUGAA
rnacentral:rRNA from 1 species